rnacentral:rRNA from 1 species
AUUGAACGCUGGCGGCAGGCCUAACACAUGCAAGUCGAACGGCAGCACAGAAGAGCUUGCUCUUUGGGUGGCGAGUGGCGGACGGGUGAGUAAUGUCUGGGAAACUGCCCGAUGGAGGGGGAUAACUACUGGAAACGGUAGCUAAUACCGCAUAACGUCGCAAGACCAAAGUGGGGGACCUUCGGGCCUCACACCAUCGGAUGUGCCCAAGUGGGAUUAGCUAGUAGGUGGGGUAAUGGCUCACCUAGGCGACGAUCCCUAGCUGGUCUGAGAGGAUGACCAGCCACACUGGAACUGGGACACGGUCCAGACUCCUACGGGAGGCAGCAGUGGGGAAUAUUGCACAAUGGGCGCAAGCCUGAUGCGGCCAUGCCGCGUGUAUGAAGAAGGCCUUCGGGUUGUAAAGUACUUUCAGCGGGGAGGAAGGCGGUGAGGUUAAUAACCUUGCCGAUUGACGUUACCCGCAGAAGAAGCACCGGCUAACUCCGUGCCAGCAGCCGCCGUAA